GCGGCCGUAGUCUAGCCUGGCCUAGGACGUCGGCCUCCCAAGUCGGUGACCCGGGUUCGAAUCCCGGCGGCCGCACCA
rnacentral:tRNA from 1 species